rnacentral:rRNA from 1 species
GAUGAACGCUGGCGGCGUGCCUAAUACAUGCAAGUCGAGCGAACGGACGAGAAGCUUGCUUCUCUGAUGUUAGCGGCGGACGGGUGAGUAACACGUGGAUAACCUACCUAUAAGACUGGGAUAACUUCGGGAAACCGGAGCUAAUACCGGAUAAUAUUUUGAACCGCAUGGUUCAAAAGUAAAAGACGGUCUUGCUGUCACUUAUAGAUGGAUCCGCGCUGCAUUAGCUAGUUGGUAAGGUAACGGCUUACCCAGGCAACGAUGCAUAGCCGACCUGAGAGGGUGAUCGGCCACACUGGAACUGAGACACGGUCCAGACUCCUACGGGAGGCAGCAGUAGGGAAUCUUCCGCAAUGGGCGAAAGCCUGACGGAGCAACGCCGCGUGAGUGAUGAAGGUCUUCGGAUCGUAAAACUCUGUUAUUAGGGAAGAACAUAUGUGUAAGUAACUGUGCACAUCUUGACGGUACCUAAUCAGAAAGCCACGGCUAACUACGUG